GACGAACGCUGGCGGCGUGCUUAACACAUGCAAGUCGAACGGAAAGGCGCUGCUUUUGUUGGGUGCUCGAGUGGCGAACGGGGGAGUAACACGUGAGUAACCUGCCCUUGACUUUGGGGUAACUUCAGGGAACUGGGGCUAAUAUAGGAUAGGAGCUCCUGCUGCAUGUUGGGGGUUGGAGAGUUUCGGCGUUUGGGGAUGGACUCGCGGCUUAUCAGCUUGUUGGGGUGGUAGGUGCUUACAACGGCUUUGACGGGUAGCCGGCCUGAGAGGGUGACCGGCGACAUUGGGACUGCGGUACGGACCAGACGCGUACGGGAGGCAGCAGUGGGGAACCUUGCACAGUGGGCGGACGCGUGAUGCAGCAGUGUCGCGUGCGGGAUGACGGGCUUCGGGUUGUAAACCGAUUUCGCCUGAGACGAAGCGUGAGUGACGGUACUGGGUAAAGAAGCAACGGCUAACUACGUG
rnacentral:rRNA from 1 species